GUGGUACCCUGGUGUGCUGGAAGCCAGUCUCCUUCAAGGAGAGGUCUUCUGUAUCCUCUGUUCCUUAGUAAAACCAGGCUGGAAUGGAAUCAAGAUAACAUAUCAAAAGCCAACUACAGACCAUCAUUCUACAGUUUUCAUAACAAGUGCUGACAAGAUAAUGAAGACUACCUCUCUGUGUUGGACCCUAGCAUUUAACUGCAUCGACCAACAGUGGAUACAUUUUAGUUGGGUGUGGCUGAAGGUCAGCAGCAUGAUUGCAGACAUCCUCAGCAAUAAGCAGAAGGUUGUAGCCAACCCUCAGAAACUUGAACUUACACAGACAUGCUUUAUGGUUGUUUGUUGAAUAAGAGUGCAAAUAUAAACUCCACCAAACUUCCAGCACCUAACUUCACCCCGACUCAGUGUCUGUGCUCUGUCAUGUGGCAUGCAAGAAGCUCGAGUGCCCUGGAAGAAGAGGCCUUGGGCUGAAAGCUUGCCUCUGCCAUUGGCCAUGGGUGAAGGAAGAGAGGCAGUUUAUUGAGUCUCAGUUUCAUUGACUUAAAGAUCUUUUUGUUUGUAACAGAACUACAGUUCAUAAAGGCUCUAUAAAAUAAAACAUAUUUGCUUCAGUCUGCCUAGUUCUAGAGAUGGAAACAUUACUUUUAG
rnacentral:lncRNA from 1 species